AGCGAACGCUGGCGGCAGGCCUAACACAUGCAAGUCGAGCGGCCGUAGCAAUACGGCAGCGGCAGACGGGAGAGUAACACGUGGGAACGUACCCUUUGGUUCGGAACAACCCAGGGAAACUUGGGCUAAUACCGGAUAAGUCCGUAAGGAGAAAGAUUUAUCGCCGAAGGAUCGGCCCGCGUCUGAUUAGCUUGUUGGUGAGGUAACGGCUCACCAAGGCGACGAUCAGUAGCUGGUCUGAGAGGAUGAUCAGCCUCACUGGGACUGAGACACGGCCCAGACUCCUACGGGAGGCAGCAGUGGGGAAUAUUGGACAAUGGGCGCAAGCCUGAUCCAGCCAUGCCGCGUGGAUGAUGAAGGCCCUAGGGUUGUAAAGUCCUUUCGGCGGGGAAGAUAAUGACGGUACCCGCAGAAGAAGCCCCGGCUAACUUCGUGCCAGCCGCCGCGGUAA
rnacentral:rRNA from 1 species